rnacentral:rRNA from 1 species
GUGGGGAAUCUUCCGCAAUGGACGAAAGUCUGACGGAGCAACGCCGCGUGAGUGAUGAAGGUCUUCGGAUUGUAAAGCUCUGUUAAUCGGGACGAAAGAGCCUAGUGUGAAUAAUGCUAGGAAGUGACGGUACCGGAAUAGAAAGCCACGGCUAACUACGUGCCAGCAGCCGCGGUAAUACGUAGGUGGCAAGCGUUGUCCGGAAUUAUUGGGCGUAAAGCGCGCGUAGGCGGAUCUGCCAGUUUGUCUUAAAAGUUCGGGGCUUAACCCCGUGAUGGGAUGGAAACUACAGAUCUAGAGUAUCGGAGAGGAAAGUGGAAUUCCUAGUGUAGCGGUGAAAUGCGUAGAUAUUAGGAAGAACACCAGUGGCGAAGGCGACUUUCUGGACGAAAACUGACGCUGAGGCGCGAAAGCCAGGGGAGCGAACGGGAUUAGAAACCCCUGUAGUCC